GUGCGGGGAGAGGAAGAUAUUUUAUUGAGACAGAGUUCUGAAACUCAAGGCUACUCAGACAUACAGGAGCCGAACUCGAGUCCUUCUGCAAGUGAUGCAUUCAUAGCAGCACUGGACUCUACUUUACCUAUACCACGUAACUGGCAGGAAGCAAAACAAUACCCAGAAUGGAGGAAAGCUAUGAUGGAGGAGAUGGAGGCACUUGACAGAAACAAUACUUGGGUAAUGAUGAUGAUGGGAUAGCAUGCUUGAAGAAGAUGUUGGCAAAAUCAUUUGAAGUCAAGGAUCUGGGUUUUCUUCACUAUUUCCUAGGCAUUGAGUUGUAUAUGGACCAGAAGGAAUUUAUCUAUCCCAGCGAAAAUAUGUGCUUGAUUUACUUGCUGAGACUGGGAUGCUAGGGUGUAAACCAGCUUCUACACCUAUAGAGUUGAACCAUCGUACUCGUGCUGACCUGGGUGACACACUAGAUAAACAAAAUUACCAGAGACUUGUGGGGCGCUUGAUUUAUU